GAUGAACGCUGGCGGCGUGCCUAAUACAUGCAAGUCGAGCGAACGGACGAGAAGCUUGCUUCUCUGAUGUUAGCGGCGGACGGGUGAGUAACACGUGGAUAACCUACCUAUAAGACUGGGAUAACUUCGGGAAACCGGAGCUAAUACCUGAUAAUAUUUUGAACCGCAUGGUUCAAAAUUUAAAGACGGUCUUGCUGUCACUUAUAGAUGGAUCCGCGCUGCAUUAGCUAGUUGGUAAGGUAACGGCUUACCAAGGCAACGAUGCAUAGCCGACCUGAGAGGGUGAUCGGCCACACUGGAACUGAGACACGGUCCAGACUCCUACGGGAGGCAGCAGUAGGGAAUCUUCCACAAUGGGCGAAAGCCUGACGGAGCAACGCCGCGUGAGUGAUGAAGGUCUUCGGAUCGUAAAACUCUGUUAUUAGGGAAGAACAUAUGUGUAAGUAACUGUGCACAUCUUGACGGUACCUAAUCAGAAAGCCACGGCUAACUACGUG
rnacentral:rRNA from 1 species